CACUACUUGGAAAACCAUAGCUUUAACUAUACGGACCUUUGUCGGCAAGGUGAUUGGGAUGCAUUUAUUUGAGGGCUAAUUGAUUUUGAGAGGGAUCUAGGUGGCAAUGGGGGGUGGAGUCUGGGAAGUUUGAGGAUAAUUUAACUGAAAGGGAAAUUAUUGGGUAAGUGUUUUGUAUUUGGAGCCUGCACUCUACCUUUUACUUGAACUUAGUUUAUGUACUAAGCUUUUUUGUCUUUCAUUUUUGUCUUUCAUUACUUUGUCUUCUGCAAAUUGGCUGUCAUUGUUCAGCAGCAAAAUGUGGGAUCAAAGGAGUGGUUUUGUUCUUGUGUGGCCAAGUUACUUGUCAACAUAAUCAAAGUUUGGAUCAAAAGAGUGGUUUGGUGUUGGGGUUCACGCAAUGCUUGCUUUGCACUCAGUUUUGUGCUUUGGGGCAAGUUCAGCAUUAUUUUUUUAAUACUUAAAAAGAGGGCAUGAGGACAACAGAUCUUCUUCUCUUGUUUGUCUUCAACAUGCAAUUUUCAGAAGUAUGCUGCCUCGUAAGUUAUAUGCAGGUUAUGAACUCCUGACCUGGACUCUUCCGCUACAAUUGACUGUAAGAAAUGUAGCCAGUUGAAUUUUGAAAGCAUCUUCCAGAUAGUGAAGUACAGUACUUGAGCACUUGGAAGCUUUUGAUAAAUAAUCCCUUUCCAAGACAAAAUGCUUCUCCCCUGGAACUGUUUCUCUGCCAGCUAUUAUCUAAGGUCAACAACAUAAUUUACAACUUUACUGGGGGGAGAAUGUGGCAUAGAGAAAGAGAGAAGCUUAAGAUUUAUCUGGGACUUGAGAGCUUGAUUAAGUGAAGUGAUUGUACUUUUUCUGCACAGGGUAAUUUUCAUUAGUGUUAACAGUGCGGUAAUAAUAAAACAAAAUUCCCUCAUUUUCUGUUGUCUUUGACAAGUUAUAUUCAGCAAACAGCCACUAAGCAAUGUCAAGCAAUCAGAUCCUAACUUUUGAGUUGACUUGGAAGUUUCAUUUUGCACUUUCAAAUGAGAAAUCAGCUUUCACCUUUUGAUGUGUAUGCUGCUGCCCAGUCACAACUGUGCUAAUGUCCAGUUCCGAGUAACAGGUCCCAUUAGCAGAAGCCUAGACAAGGACUUUUGCUAGUACAAUGGGGCUUCCUCCCCUGUUUCCCCACAAAAUUGAUGGCAAGGAGGGGGUGUCAAGAGAAUCCCCAGAACAGUACAUUGGGGAGGGAGGAGAGGGGAGAUUGAUAAGCAAACAGAAAUGCGUGUACUUCCUGAAUGUUUGUAACAGCCUGAUGUUGAACUCCUUCCUGGGCCUCUCCAUUGCUUCCUGUGGGCAGCCCUCUAUUACCCACAGGAGGUGUGGUGUGAGUAAGAGGAUGGCAUAAUAAACGGACAGAGAAUUUCCCCCCUUCCUUCUCCCAUAACAUGAGAACUCAGGGACUGAAUGCUGGAAGAUUCAAGACAGGCAAAAGGAAGUACCUGUUUACAUAGUGCAUUGUUAAAGGAGGCGGUGAUGGCCACCAACAUGGGUGACUUUAUAAGAGGAUUAGACAGAUUCACGGAGGAUGAAGCUAUCAGUAGCUCCUAGUCUCGAAUGCUACCUCCAGGGUCAAAGGCAGUAUGUCUCUGGAUAACAGUUGCAGGGAAUUGCAGGAGGAGAGAGUAGUGUUGUAUUCAGACCCUGCUUUCAGGCUUUCCAUGGGUAUCUGGUUGGCCAGUGUGAGAACAGGAUGCUGGGCUAGGUGGGCCAUUGGCUUAAUCCAGCAGGCUCAUCUUACAUUCUUAGCCUGCUUUCCAAGUAAUGGUGUACUUAGAAACAUUUAAAUUCUGGGCUUAAGUGAUCUUGGAGCUCCCCCUUUAGGUGGUAAUAUAUAUUAUUUCACUAUCUCAAAUGGCCCCUUUUAGAUGAUAAUGUUCAUUGUUUCACCUACUUUAAAAUGUGUUGAGCCAGCUAUAUUGUGUUUUCUGUGGCGGGGGCGCUGCUCAUUCUGCUAAGCAGGGGCUUGGAUUUCUGGCCCAAAGUGCUGCCCUAAGUGCAUCACUAGUUCCAAAGUGAGGCAGUCUGUAGGACAUAAAUUUUAUUUAUUUCAUAAAAUGUAUAUGUUGCUUGUUUGUAGAAAAGCCCCUGAAGCUUUUUACAAAAAGUCUGGCAUCAGACAUACAAUUGACUCCAGUGCACAAGAAUCCAUGUUAUUAGUAUAAAACGCUGUCACGAAGAGUCGGACACGACUAAACGACUAAACAACAACAACAGCUGCCUAUAUACUUGUUAGGCAUACCUCAGACAACAGCUACUCUUCGUAUGAAUAGGAUAGCUGUUGUUUUCAAAGUGCAACUUUGCUUACAAACGUGUUAUUGGGUUUAAUCAUUGUUAGACAGGCCUUAAUUGCUCCAAUUAGCUCAAAUACUAGCGAGGUCAGUACAAAUGGCAGCUCUAGUUGCAUUGCAAUUAACUUAACUGGUUUAGGCAAACAGUAUUUUCAAAAUAUUUGGGCAUACUUGACGGUCUCAUUAUGCCUUGCCUUGUAAAAGAAAUGUUCAGUUUUAACAAUUCAGUUAACACCAAGGUGGUGGUAGGGAUUGCUUGCCUAUGGCUUGAAACGGAGAGAGCAAGCCGUGUUCUUUGCACUGAUUUAAAGACAUUAGCACGAUGUUAGUGAGGAGAGGAAAUUAGUCCAAGCCUGGUUUUAAUGGGUUUUCCUUUUUAUAAUUCUACACAAAUGCUAAACUUGAGCAGCCCAAAAGGGAUAAUCUAGAAAGAGUGACUUGAAAAUGUGUUUGCCAUGUUUUGCAGAAUUCCAUAGAUUACAAUUCAUUUGCAAACAAAAUGGUUCUCUUUUCUCAUGUUUAGUUCCUCUAUAUCCUGCAUUUUGUCUGUUGAUGUGGCCCAUGAGGCAAUGUCUGGCCAUCGCUCAGAUCUACUUUCCUGUGCUUAGGGCUUGUUACCCUUGCAUUAGCCACAGUGUUUAUAUCUACUACUGCUAGUAUUAUCCAGAAUUUGUUUUUUGCUUUUAAUGCUGUACAAUCAUUUUGAGAAACUGCCAGUGCCAUCUGCUUAGUUAUUUCUAAUAAUGUUGUAGAGUAUUCCAGGCUAGAUGUUAUCUUAGAGUAAAAAUUAGCCGCGAAUCCCCAAUUCAAUUUAAAAAGAGAACUUGGCAUUUAAUUAUUAUUCACUCAUCAUACAGGUCAGUGAUAUUCACUGUUUAGCCCUUGGGGAAGCAUGGAAAAUGUUGCUGACUUGGGCACUUCAGUAAUUUUAAGGUCUGGAUUGCUGUGAAGAGAAUUUACCAAACUCCCCUGCUAUUCCCAUGUAUCAUAAUGGUGUAUGCAUUGUACAGGCUUGUUACUAACAGCACAAUUUUUGGAUCCACCAUAUUCUGUGACUGUAAGGACUCAGCUACAUUGGCAAAGAAAAAACACUUUAUAUGUGUUGUUUAUGCAUUCUAACACUAUGACACCUGAUGGUGCUGUGGAGUUCCAUUUUUGCUAACCCAAUUUCUCAUAUGAAGUUUAAAACGUCUUUAACUGAAAUGCUUCUUUGAAGUGUCUAGAUCCAGCCUAAGUUGUUUUAAACUGUUUUUAAUCCCGUGUUUUAAUCUUGCAAGGCAGAUAAUUAAUAAUAACAACAGCAUCUGGCAACAUACCCUUGUUGAGCAAAAAUCAGAAUCAAAUGCACACUAUGUGGGCAAAUUUGCUGGAGAGGUUUAGUGAACAUUUCCAAAACCAAAAAAUGCAGGGACAGCAAUUAUGCCUCUUUGAGAAUCCUUACAGUAUUAACAGGACAAUUCAAACCCUGUCAAGGCAGUGGCAGGGUAUAACAGAAUGGUGGAGAUCUGCCACAUGCAAAGUCCCAGGGUGGAAGGCGAGGGAAGGUUUAGGGAAUUGGCACAGCAAUCAGAACCCUGAUUGGGCCGAGUACCAUUAAUGGAGUUUAUGUAUAAAAUACCAGUUGACAUGAUACAUUUCAGACCAAGAGAGAGCACAGAAAUAUCACCUGGAUGAAUUAUGCAUUUCACUUAAAUGAAAAAUAGUUUCUCUGAAUUUCAGGUUCCAGUUUGGAGAUGUAAAUUUCCAGAGGCAAACUCCUUUGGAAUAUAAUGGUCCAAACUCCUCCCUGUCCAGUUCCCUGCUUCUGAUGUAUUUGACUAGUCUUCAAGUGAAUUACAUUUAAAAACAUAAACAUGAAUACAUUAUACC